CAUCCUUGCUCCGAAAUGCAGUCAUCACGGUUACAGCGUCGGGGUGCAGGACGGCUGCGGGAUGUGGGGUCUCCAGGGAGAUGCUCCGGCCGGCCGGGCGGGAGAAGAGUCCCCUCCCCGCCCCCAGCUAGCUCCGCGGCCGGGCGGGGAGCGAGCGAGGCGCCGCUCCAGGUUCUUUGGAUACCCGUUCCAAUAUAACAGGCUCUCCACAGCAAUGCAGCCAAGGUGCUCCUGACUUGUGCAAAUGUGAAGAAAACUGAAAUCGAGUGCAAACAUUGGUGUAACAAUGGGAGAUCUCAGAGACUCUUCUCCAGCCUCCUCUCCCUAACAGGUCAUAGUAAAAUGGGCAGGGGGGAAGGUAUUUGUCUUUCUUCAUUAAAGAAACCUGGUGAAAAUAGAAAUGCAACGGACGUGCACAAAGUAUUAUUAUUAUUAUUUGCAGAAAUGCACAGAGCAGUGCCAAAAAGUAUUACUGAAAUCCACUUAAUGGAAUAGAAAGUCUGGUGAAUAAGGAACCAAUUUUUAGUUCCUGUCAAGUGAAAAUGUAUCCCCUAAUCUUAAUUAUGCGAUCCUGUGUACAUCAAAUUCAUGCAAGAAAACCACUUAAUGUUGUGGUUUAUUUUUUUGGUUUUUACUUCUCAUUGUUGAUAUUUUAUGGGAGUUUAAGCAACAGUCCAUAGCUGGAUGGAGAAAGCAAAGAAAAUGAACUUGGCAUCUGACAGGCACUGCUGUGACAUCAGCGUGUGGCUUUCUGCCAGUCACCUGACCUCACUGUGCCUUUCAAAUGCUGCCUCAUCCGGAAAAUGGAGGCAAGCACUCAUUCUCUCUCUCUCUCCCCCAUUCACUGAUUUGGUUACUUACUUGUUUGCUGUAUCACUCCAUUAACCCAGCCAAUCUAGACGUAGCAGAUGUCCCCAGGAUACAAAGCCUUUCCAUGUUCCCCAUGCAGAAAUAUAAUCAUAAAUAAGGAAAAGGCUCAGUGUCAGUGUGAUGCAACUAAUAGUCACUUUGCUUAAAACAACAAGCUUGACAUUGUUAAACUAUUUAUGUGGCUGUCUUGGGAAAAAAUAGAAACAUGCAAGUUAGUUGGGAGAAGAGAUGUACUGGUUUCAUUGAAGCAGAGUAUGAAUCUCUACUGUUGGGUCAGAUUUUGGGGGGAUAACAGUGAAAUUUUGUGCUCAAUACAUUAAGUUUUCCAAAAGGAGAAUGCAAUACAACCAAACAGUAUGAUGACUGAGAGAAAAAGAACUAUUCAUUUUGGAGUAGUGCUUUGAGUUGUCAAAAAUGCAAGACUGUAUUAUGUUAUCUGCAGCCUCGCGAUAGGUUUUAGGGUUCUCCUAGAGUUCAUUUAAGAUUGUAGUAGUUCAAGGGGAAUUAUUUUGGGAUGAUAAAAAUGUUCUUUUUUCAUGAUUAUGGUGCUGGCUACAGAUUACAUCAAAACUCAUAAGACUUCAUGAAAAGCUAAGAUUUGUGCUGCAUGGAAAUUCUGCAAUGGACCUCAUUAAAAGUAAUUAUGAUCUGGGCAUGGUGGCAUAGGCCUGUAAUCUCAGCACUCUGGGAAGCUGAACCAAGAGGAUCACAAGUCCAGCUUGGGAAACCUAGCCACUUACAGAGAUCCUGUCUCAGAACAAAAUGUAAGAAAGGGCUGGAGAUGUACCUUAAAGUGAAGGCUCUGGAUUCAAUCUCUAGUACCUCAAAAAAAAAAAAAAAAAAAAAAAUCCUUCCAACAAACAAACAGAACAAUGGUACCAUUCAAGUUAUUGCUUGUUCCCCAAAAGUAUUACAAACAAAUUUUUACCAGAUAAGCAAUCUGGUGAGAAGGGGCCCUAUGAUCUUGCUUUGACACUAGUUUUCCGGCAUGCACACUGGUUUUAGGUAGACUAGCCUUUCUUGGGUGUAGAAAGCACAGAUUGUGGGGGAGGAAGUGAAGAAGACAAAGCUAAAUACUGUUGCCUCCAGCCCCACUUAGCUCUCCUAACUGAGGCUACCGUUAUCACCUAGUCCAUGCAAGAGACUAGGAAUAUAAAGCUCAGUGGUUUCUGACACUAAGCAACUCUCAGCCUAGAACAGAAUUGCACAUCUAUCUCUGUAAAGUUGUUUUGUUUUGUUUUGUUUUUUUGGUCUUUUUCCUUUUUAUUGGUACCAGGGAUCGAACUCACGACUGCCUGUUUGCAAGGCAGGCGCUUUUGCCGCUGAGCUAAAUCCCCAGCCCCGAAAGUUUUAAGUCCAUGCUUGUUUGGAAGAGGGCAUGGUGGUGAUGGGGAACUGGGGAGGCCUAGGUUUUCCUUAAAAGGAUGAUUCCAGUACACAGCCUGGAAAAAUGCUAGAUGAGGAAACAGAAACACAGAGCAGAGAUUCUGAACAGGUAAAGUCAUCCGUUAUUUCAGAUUGUAUUUUGGUCAGUGCAAUGAUAGAGAAGUGUGUUUAAUGUUCUGUUGGCUACUUAAGGGAAAAUCAAAACACCUUUCACCUCACUCUGACCUCUAUUUUCAUAAAGACCCAGAAUGACUACUAUUUACCCAGUGUCUGCUUUGACAGGUCAUUGUUAAUAAGCUAGAAAGGAAUGUAGGCUAUUUCUUGUAAUACAAAAGAAAAUAACCACUGGGUUCUUGCAACAUCUGUUUAUUGUUUCAAUUUAAUUAACACAUGUAUUUACUUCUUUUGCUCACUAAACAUAUUUAUUCAUUUUUGUACCCUCAAUAUGGGCCCGGCGAGGCACUUGAUGAAUGGUUUUCAAAUGAAUUAAAUGCAAAAAAGAAAAAAAUUAAGGUUGAUAUCAGUGAUGCUGGCAUGGGAUUCUUUGCAGAAAUCACUAAAUAGCUCGGAGAUUCUUAAGCCAUUAUGUUAACUCUCAUUAUAAUCAUAUCCUUAACAUUUUUUCCUUUAGCCUCAGUGACAUUGUGACCCUGGAAUAAUGCUUCUUUCCAUUUUAUGGAAAAUUCUAAUGUUAGAAGCAGAACCUUGAACCUCUAGUUGCUUUCUUGUAGUAUAGCCCAUUUUCUUCCUUCAAAUACACACACAGAUGGGGGGAUUGAUGGCCAGUGUAUUUCUAAAAUGAAAAGAAUUCUGUGUUUAUUUAAAGAUCUUAUUCUUAACCUAAUCAGGUAAUAUUCAACGAGAUCACUCAACUCACUUGUUGAGGUCUCAAUUUCCUCAUCUAUAAAAUAACAGUAAAACAUUGUUCCAUCUAUAUCGCAAGGAAAUUGUCAGUUUCAAAUCAUACAUGUUUCAUGGCUAGCCUGGAUUACAAAAUGAGUUCAAAACCAGCCUGAACUGUAUAACAAGACUGUCUCAGACAAACAAACACAAAUUAUAUGUGGGUGUGCUUUGCAAAAUAUUAAGUCUGUGUUUUUGUAAAGCAAGAGACAGGUACUGCUGUAGUACUUUUUAAAAAGUCUGUAUUUCCAGAGAUUAAAAUGGUUUGGUAUAGAUAUUUAGUUGUUGAAUGGAAUGUGACUUUUUUUUGUCCUGGAAAACACAAAAGAUAAUAAACAAUAAAAAGUCUGUUUAGUGAUAAA